GGGCCCGCACAAGCGGUGGAGCAUGCGGAUUAAUUCGAUGCAACGCGAAGAACCUUACCAAGGCUUGACAUAUAGAGGAAAAGUGUAGAAAUACACUCCCCGCAAGGUCUCUAUACAGGUGGUGCAUGGUUGUCGUCAGCUCGUGUCGUGAGAUGUUGGGUUAAGUCCCGCAACGAGCGCAACCCUCGUCCUAUGUUGCCAGCACGUAAUGGUGGGAACUCAUGGGAUACUGCCGGGGUCAACUCGGAGGAAGGUGGGGAUGACGUCAAAUCAUCAUGCCCCUUAUGUCUUGGGCUUCACGCAUGCUACAAUGGCCGGUACAGAGGGCAGCAAUACCGUAAGGUGGAGCGAAUCCCACAAAGCCGGUCUCAGUUCGGAUUGAGGUCUGCAACUCGACCUCAUG
rnacentral:rRNA from 1 species